rnacentral:rRNA from 1 species
UGGGGAAUAUUGCACAAUGGGCGCAAGCCUGAUGCAGCCAUGCCGCGUGUGUGAAGAAGGCCUUCGGGUUGUAAAGCACUUUCAGCGAGGAGGAAGGUGGUGAACUUAAUACGUUCAUCAAUUGACGUUACUCGCAGAAGAAGCACCGGCUAACUCCGUGCCAGCAGCCGCGGUAAUACGGAGGGUGCAAGCGUUAAUCGGAAUUACUGGGCGUAAAGCGCACGCAGGCGGUUUGUUAAGUCAGAUGUGAAAUCCCCGGGCUCAACCUGGGAACUGCAUUUGAAACUGGCAAGCUAGAGUCUCGUAGAGGGGGGUAGAAUUCCAGGUGUAGCGGUGAAAUGCGUAGAGAUCUGGAGGAAUACCGGUGGCGAAGGCGGCCCCCCUGGACGAAGACUGACGCUCAGGUGCGAAAAGCGUGGGGCAGCAAACAGGAUUAGAUACCCUGGUAGUCCACGCUGUAAACGAUGUCGAUUUGGAGGUUGUGCCCCUUGAGGCGUGGCUUCCGGAGCUAACGCGUUAAGUCGACCGCCUGGGGAGUACGGCC